GCGGCUGUAGCUCAGUGGUAGAGCACUGCCCUCCCAAGGCAGAUACGUGGGUCCGAUUCCCAUCAGCCGCUCCA
rnacentral:tRNA from 2 species